rnacentral:rRNA from 1 species
UAAGGAAUAUUGGACAAUGGUCGCAAGACUGAUCCAGCCAUGCCGCGUGAAGGAUGACGGCCCUAUGGGUUGUAAACUUCUUUUUGAACGGGAGAAAACCCCCUUACGUGUAAGGGGCUGAUAGUACCGUUAGAAUAAGGAUCGGCUAACUCCGUGCCAGCAGCCGCGGUAAUACGGAGGAUCCAAGCGUUAUCCGGAUUUAUUGGGUUUAAAGGGUGCGUAGGUGGCCUAUUAAGUCAGUGGUGAAAUCCUACAGCUUAACUGUGGAAUUGCCAUUGAUACUGAUGGGCUUGAAUACAGGUGAAGUGGGCGGAAUAUGACAUGUAGCGGUGAAAUGCUUAGAUAUGUCAUAGAACACCGAUUGCGAAGGCAGCUCACUAAACUGUCAUUGACACUGAGGCACGAAAGCGUGGGUAGCAAACAGGAUUAGAUACCCGGGUAGUCCCUGAGCGGGCUGGCAAGGCGCAU